CUUACACAAGGACCUCCGACGAGAUCCGCAAUUAGAGACCAACACAGUAAACCCACAUGAGAGGACCGCAGAAACCCCAAAUAGUAAACUCACAAGAGAGGACCGUAGAAUAUCCCAACUGUCAAAAAAAGCCUUCUAUGAGCAAAAUCAUAGUCCUUUGACACCCACACAAAUUGUAAGACAUACCAUAGCAGAAACUAGAAGAGAACACGGAGAAGGAACACAACAACAGUAAAAAGACCUCUUAGAAGCACUCAACUUCAACUCAGAACCUGACAAAGAAAACCUCCUAUGACCAAGCAUAGUUCUUCGGUCGGCACAGAGUAGAGAAGAGCACCACAUCUUAACAACUACCACAAGCCUCGUUGUUGCCGCCGCCGUUAAAACAGAGACAAAACAUCAGUCACCAGGUAUCACAAUUCUCCCAAUGAGACACACAAUCCAGCGUCACUACUGUCGCCACCGCUGAGACAAAGACUACCAAUCACCUAGAACACUGCAAAAACAACAAAACAAAACAAAUAGACAAACAUACCUAGAUCCAAACAGAUCUAGAC
rnacentral:lncRNA from 1 species